GAGCUGUGGAUAGGGGUGAAAGGCUAAACAAACUUGGAAAUAGCUGGUUCUCUCCGAAAACUAUUUAGGUAGUGCCUCGUGUCUCACCUUCGGGGGUAGAGCACUGUCAUGGUUGGGGGGUCUAUUGCUGAUUACCCCGCCAUAGCAAACUCCGAAUACCGAAGAGUGCAAUCACGGGAGACAGACAUCGGGUGCUAACGUCCGGUGUCAAGAGGGAAACAACCCAGACCGCCAGCUAAGGUCCCUAAGAUUGGCUAAGUGGGAAACGAAGUGGGAAGGCUAAAACAGUCAGGAGGUUGGCUUAGAAGCAGCCACCCUUUAAAGAAAGCGUAAUAGCUCACUGAUCGAGUCGUCCUGCGCGGAAGAUGUAACGGGGCUAAGCCAGUCACCGAAGCUGCGGAUGCACGUAAGUGCAUGGUAGGAGAGCGUUCUGUAAGCCUGUGAAGGUGUCUUGUAAAGGAUGCUGGAGGUAUCAGAAGUGCGAAUGCUGACAUGAGUAGCGAUAAAGGGGGUGAAAGGCCCCCUCGCCGUAAGCCCAAGGUUUCCUACGCAACGUUCAUCGGCGUAGGGUGAGUCGGCCCCUAAGGCGAGGCAGAGAUGCGUAGCUGAUGGGAAGCAGGUUAAUAUUCCUGCACCGUCGUAUGAUGCGAUGGGGGGACGGAUCGCGGAAGGUUGUCCGGGUGUUGGAAGUCCCGGUCCCUACAUUGGAGAUGGCACUUAGGCAAAUCCGGGUGCGUGAUUCAAGGGUGUGGGGCGAGCGACGUUAGGUCGCGAAGCAAUUGGAAGUGGUUCCAAGAAAAGCCUCUAAGCUUCAGUCAUACGAGACCGUACCGCAAACCGACACAGGUGGGCGAGAUGAGUAUUCUAAGGCGCUUGAGAGAACUCGGGAGAAGGAACUCGGCAAAUUGGUACCGUAACUUCGGGAUAAGGUACGCCCUUGUAGUUUGACUGGCUCGCGCCAGAAGGAUGAAGGGGUUGCAAUAAAAUGGUGGCUGCGACUGUUUAAUAAAAACACAGCACUCUGCAAACACGAAAGUGGACGUAUAGGGUGUGACGCCUGCCCGGUGCCGGAAGAUUAAAUGAUGGGGUGCAAGCUCUUGAUUGAAGUCCCGGUAAACGGCGGCCGUAACUAUAACGGUCCUAAGGUAGCGAAAUUCCUUGUCGGGUAAGUUCCGACCUGCACGAAUGGCGUAACGAUGGCCACACUGUCUCCUCCCGAGACUCAGCGAAGUUGAAGUGUUUGUGAUGAUGCAAUCUCCCCGCGGCUAGACGGAAAGACCCCAUGAACCUUUACUGUAGCUUUGCAUUGGACUUUGAACCGAUCUGUGUAGGAUAGGUGGGAGGCUUUGAAACCGGGACGCUAGUUUCGGUGGAGCCGACCUUGAAAUACCACCCUGGUUUGUUUGAGGUUCUAACCUUGGCCCGUGAAUCCGGGUCGGGGACAGUGCAUGGUAGGCAGUUUGACUGGGGCGGUCUCCUCCCAAAGUGUAACGGAGGAGUUCGAAGGUACGCUUGGUACGGUCGGACAUCGUACCUAAAGUGCAAUGGCAAAAGCGUGCUUAACUGCGAGACCGACAAGUCGAGCAGGUGCGAAAGCAGGACAUAGUGAUCCGGUGGUUCUGUAUGGAAGGGCCAUCGCUCAACGGAUAAAAGGUACUCUGGGGAUAACAGGCUGAUACCGCCCAAGAGUUCAUAUCGACGGCGGUGUUUGGCACCUCGAUGUCGGCUCAUCUCAUCCUGGGGCUGUAGCCGGUCCCAAGGGUAUGGCUGUUCGCCAUUUAAAGAGGUACGUGAGCUGGGUUUAAAACGUCGUGAGACAGUUUGGUCCCUAUCUGCCGUGGGCGUUGGAAUCUUGACGGGGGCUGCUCCUAGUACGAGAGGACCGGAGUGGACGUACCGCUGGUGUACCUGUUGUCUCGCCAGAGGCAUCGCAGGGUAGCUAUGUACGGAAGAGAUAACCGCUGAAAGCAUCUAAGCGGGAAACUCGCCUGAAGAUGAGGAUUCCCUGGAGACUUGAUCUCCCUGAAGGGUCGUUCGAGACCAGGACGUUGAUAGGCUGGGUGUGGAAGCGCAGUAAUG
rnacentral:rRNA from 1 species